GUCCACGCCGUAAACGAUGGAUACUAGCCGUUGGGGUCUUUGAGACUUUAGUGGCGCAGCUAACGCGAUAAGUAGACCGCCUGGGGAGUACGGUCGCAAGACUAAAACUCAAAUGAAUUGACGGGGGCCCGCACAAGCGGUGGAGCAUGUGGUUUAAUUCGAUGCAACGCGAAGAACCUUACCUGGUCUUGACAUAGUAAGAACUUUUCCAGAGAUGGAUUGGUGCCUUCGGGAACUUACAUACAGGUGCUGCAUGGCUGUCGU
rnacentral:rRNA from 1 species